rnacentral:misc_RNA from 1 species
AAGUCGUAACAAGGUUUCCGUAGGUGAACCUGCGGAAGGAUACGUGUUAAUGAAAGGAUCAUUAACACGUAUCCAACGUUAAACCCCCCUGUGAACCUUCAGAAGUCCGUUCUCGUAACACCAGUGCGCCUCAGCAAUCCCGGUAAAUCAUUGUCGACCAGUAUUGAUUCGGGACCUCUGACAAAUGCCUUACGAUCGAGCUGUACAGUGACAUGGCUUCCAGUGAAUGAAAGUGUCACCGGAUAACGCCUCACGAUUGCUGGGUCGACCACCGGCCAGCUUCCAUGUCAUAGGGUCCUUUGAGAUCCCUUCGAAACCCCACUACUUUAUAGUUCGGGCUUGCUAAAUACACGCCCAAAAAAACGAACAACUGUUAACAAUGGAUAUCUUGGUUCUC